UGGCAUUCAAAGUAUUAUGGAAAUGCUCAAUGAUUAAAAUAGACAAGCAGAAGAAGGGUGAAGGGAAACAACAAAGAAGAUGCAUAACAUGUGAUGACAGAAAAAUGUGAGCCAAUCCUCUUCUGCAUUAAAACGAUGAAGGUGGAAAAAAUGAAGCUGAUGGCGAUGGAUAUGCUCAAGAAGGAUAAAGAGGAAAAGAGACAGACACCAGUCAGAGAUUAGACUUCUUCCAAGCCAU